UUAAAUUGAAGAGUUUGAUCAUGGCUCAGAUUGAACGCUGGCGGCAGGCCUAACACAUGCAAGUCGAACGGUAACAGGAAGCAGCUUACUGCUUCGCUGACGAGUGGCGGACGGGUGAGUAAUGUCUGGGAAACUGCCUGAUGGAGGGGGAUAACUACUGGAAACGGUGGCUAAUACCGCAUAACGUCGCAAGACCAAAGAGGGGGACCUUCGGGCCUCUUGCCAUCAGAUGUGCCCAGAUGGGAUUAGCUUGUUGGUGAGGUAACGGCUCACCAAGGCGACGAUCCCUAGCUGGUCUGAGAGGAUGACCAGCCACACUGGAACUGAGACACGGUCCAGACUCCUACGGGAGGCAGCAGUGGGGAAUAUUGCACAAUGGGCGCAAGCCUGAUGCAGCCAUGCCGCGUGUAUGAAGAAGGCCUUCGGGUUGUAAAGUACUUUCAGCGGGGAGGAAGGUGUUGUGGUUAAUAACCGCAGCAAUUGACGUUACCCGCAGAAGAAGCACCGGCUAACUCCGUGCCAGCAGCCGCGGUAAUACGGAGGGUGCAAGCGUUAAUCGGAAUUACUGGGCGUAAAGCGCACGCAGGCGGUCUGUCAAGUCGGAUGUGAAAUCCCCGGGCUCAACCUGGGAACUGCAUUCGAAACUGGCAGGCUUGAGUCUUGUAGAGGGGGGUAGAAUUCCAGGUGUAGCGGUGAAAUGCGUAGAGAUCUGGAGGAAUACCGGUGGCGAAGGCGGCCCCCUGGACAAAGACUGACGCUCAGGUGCGAAAGCGUGGGGAGCAAACAGGAUUAGAUACCCUGGUAGUCCACGCCGUAAACGAUGUCUACUUGGAGGUUGUGCCCUUGAGGCGUGGCUUCCGGAGCUAACGCGUUAAGUAGACCGCCUGGGGAGUACGGCCGCAAGGUUAAAACUCAAAUGAAUUGACGGGGGCCCGCACAAGCGGUGGAGCAUGUGGUUUAAUUCGAUGCAACGCGAAGAACCUUACCUGGUCUUGACAUCCACGGAAGUUUUCAGAGAUGAGAAUGUGCCUUCGGGAACCGUGAGACAGGUGCUGCAUGGCUGUCGUCAGCUCGUGUUGUGAAAUGUUGGGUUAAGUCCCGCAACGAGCGCAACCCUUAUCCUUUGUUGCCAGCGGUUAGGCCGGGAACUCAAAGGAGACUGCCAGUGAUAAACUGGAGGAAGGUGGGGAUGACGUCAAGUCAUCAUGGCCCUUACGACCAGGGCUACACACGUGCUACAAUGGCGCAUACAAAGAGAAGCGACCUCGCGAGAGCAAGCGGACCUCAUAAAGUGCGUCGUAGUCCGGAUUGGAGUCUGCAACUCGACUCCAUGAAGUCGGAAUCGCUAGUAAUCGUGGAUCAGAAUGCCACGGUGAAUACGUUCCCGGGCCUUGUACACACCGCCCGUCACACCAUGGGAGUGGGUUGCAAAAGAAGUAGGUAGCUUAACCUUCGGGAGGGCGCUUACCACUUUGUGAUUCAUGACUGGGGUGAAGUCGUAACAAGGUAACCGUAGGGGAACCUGCGGUUGGAUCACCUCCUUACCUUAAAGAAGC
rnacentral:rRNA from 1 species